rnacentral:rRNA from 1 species
UACGGAGGGGGCAAGCGUUAUUCGGAAUCACUGGGCGUAAAGGGCGCGUAGGCGGCCGAUCAAGUCGGGGGUGAAAGCCUGUGGCUCAACCACAGAAUUGCCUUCGAUACUGUUUGGCUUGAGUCCGGAAGAGGUAAGUGGAACUGCGAGUGUAGAGGUGAAAUUCGUAGAUAUUCGCAAGAACACCAGUGGCGAAGGCGGCUUACUGGUCCGGUUCUGACGCUGAGGCGCGAAAGCGUGGGGAGCAAACAGG